AAGGGUAUAGCUCAGUGGUAGAGCACAUGCUUAUCACGCACAAGGUCCUAGGUUCAAUCCCCAGUACCUCCA
rnacentral:tRNA from 1 species